rnacentral:rRNA from 1 species
CCUACGAGAGGCAGCAGUGGGGAAUAUUGCGCAAUGGGCGAAAGCCUGACGCCGCGACGCCGCGUGAGGGUUGGAGGUCUUCGGAUCGUAAACCUCUGUCAGCAGGGAAGAACGGUCACUGUGCUAAUCAGCAGUGAAUUGACGGUACCUGCAAAGGAAGCACCGGCUAACUCCGUCCCCGCAGCCGAGGUAAUACGGCGGGUGCGAGCGUUAAUCGGAAUUACUGGGCGUAAGGCGCUCGUAGGCGGGAUGUGAAGUCAAGGGUGAAAUCUCCGCGCUCAACGUGGGAACUGACUUUGAAACUGGCAAACAGGAGUGUGUGAGAGGAUAGUGGAAUUCCAGGUGUAGGAGUGAAAUCCGUAGAUAUCUGGAGGAACAUCAGUGGCGAAGGCGACUAUCUGGCACAUAACUGACGCUGAGGAGCGAAAGCGUGGGUAGCAAACAGGAUUAGAUACCCCAGUAGUC